GACGAACGCUGGCGGCGUGCCUAAUACAUGCAAGUAGAACGCACAGUUUAUACCGUAGCUUGCUACACCAUAGACUGUGAGUUGCGAAUGGGUGAGUAACGCGUAGGUAACCUGCCUGGGAGCGGGUGUUAACUAUUGUAAACGAUAGCUAUUACCGCAUAAUAUUGAUUAUUGCAUGAUAAUUAAUUGAAAUGUGCAAUUGCACCACUACCAGGUGGACCUGCGUUGUAUUAGCUAGUAGGUGAGGUAACGGCUCACCUAGGCGAAGAUACAUAGCCGACCUGAGAGGGUGAUCGGCCACACUGGGACUGAGACACGGCCCAGACUCCUACGGGAGGCAGCAGUAGGGAAUCUUCGGCAAUGGACGAAAGUCUGACCGAGCAACGCCGCGUGAGUGAAGAAGGUUUUCGGAUCGUAAAGCUCUGUUGUAAGAGAAGAACGGGGGUGAGAGUGGAAAGUUCACACUGUGACGGUAUCUUACCAGAAAGGGACGGCUAACUACGUG
rnacentral:rRNA from 1 species